GUAGGUGAACCUGCGGAAGGAUCAUUACGUAUUUUAGGCCGGUCUGACCGGUUCUAUUCAACCCUGAUUUUUGCGUACCUUUUGUUUCCUCGGCAGGCUUGCUUGCCAAUAGGACAUUUCAAACUCAUUAUGUUAGCAAUCAGCGUCAAAAUAAAUUUAAUUGUAACAACUUUCAACAACGGAUCUCUUGGUUCUGGCAUCGAUGAAGAACGCAGCAUCUGACUGACUUGGGAUGCAUGCAUCUCGUAUG
rnacentral:misc_RNA from 1 species